rnacentral:rRNA from 1 species
GACGAACGCUGGCGGCGUGCCUAAUACAUGCAAGUAGAACGCUGAAGCUUGGUGCUUGCACCGAGCGGAUGAGUUGCGAACGGGUGAGUAACGCGUAGGUAACCUGCCUGGUAGCGGGGGAUAACUAUUGGAAACGAUAGCUAAUACCGCAUAAGAGUAGAUGUUGCAUGACAUUUGCUUAAAAGGUGCAAUUGCAUCACUACCAGAUGGACCUGCGUUGUAUUAGCUAGUUGGUGAGGUAACGGCUCACCAAGGCAACGAUACAUAGCCGACCUGAGAGGGUGAUCGGCCACACUGGGACUGAGACACGGCCCAGACUCCUACGGGAGGCAGCAGUAGGGAAUCUUCGGCAAUAGACGGAAGUCUGACCGAGCAACGCCGCGUGAGUGAAGAAGGUUUUCGGAUCGUAAAGCUCUGUUGUAAGAGAAGAACGAGUGUGAGAGUGGAAAGUUCACACUGUGACGGUAUCUUACCAGAAAGGGACGGCUAACUACGUG